UACGGAGGGAGCUAGCGUUGUUCGGAAUUACUGGGCGUAAAGCGCGUGUAGGCGGCUUUGCAAGUCGGGUGUGAAAUCCCUCAGCUCAACUGAGGAAGUGCGCCCGAAACUGCAGAGCUUGAGUACCGGAGAGGAUGGCGGAAUUCCCGAAGUAGAGGUGAAAUUCGUAGAUAUCGGGAGGAACACCGGUGGCGAAGGCGGCCAUCUGGACGGAUACUGACGCUGAGACGCGAAAGCGUGGGGAGCAAACAGG
rnacentral:rRNA from 1 species